CGGGGGGGGCAAGCGUUGUUCGGAAUUACUGGGCGUAAAGGGCUCGUAGGCGGCCAACUAAGUCGGACGUGAAAUCCCCAGGCUCAACCUGGGAACUGCGUCCGAUACUGGAUGGCUUGAAUCCGGGAGAGGGAUGCAGAAUUCCAGGUGUAGCGGUGAAAUGCGUAGAUAUCUGGAGGAAUACCGGUGGCGAAGGCGGCAUCCUGGACCGGCAUUGACGCUGAGGAGCGAAAGCCAGGGGAGCAAGCGGGAUUAGAUACCCCGGUAGUCCUGGCCCUAAACGAUGAAUGCUUGGUGUAACGGGUAUCGAUCCCUGUUGUGCCGAAGCUAACGCAUUAAGCAUUCCGCCUGGGGAGUACGGUCGCAAGGCUG
rnacentral:rRNA from 1 species